rnacentral:lncRNA from 1 species
UACUUUGCGCUAGUGUUCUUUCACACUUUUGACUUUUCACCACUCAAGUUUCUUUUCUUUUGUUUUUGCAUUUAUAGGCAUUUUAGGGUUUAACACCAUCAAUCCACACUUUGAAAACCACGCACACAGCAAGCAGAACCCCCUCUCUCUCGUGUCUUCACCGGCGACCAGAGAUCGGAGCUCCGGCGCCACGUUUUUCUCCGGCGAAUCACUCACCCAUACACCCACACCCUUUUCUCACUCUCUCACGCCGCUCCGACGACCGGUGAUCGAGGUUCCGGCCAGCUCCGCCAUCAUUUUCGACAACCGCAACCACUCUCCGACACCCUCCUUGCUUCUCUGAUGAUGACGGCUGAAGAUGAUGUUUCGUUAUGAACAUGAUCGAAGAUGAUGAUGUUGACGCUGGUUAUCGUUGACGGCGACGGUGGUGCCUCGGAACUCCGGAAGACGUGAUAUAUACGGUCGCCGAUGACUGGGUGGAGUCCGGUGACGGCGGAGAGUCGCCGUCGACAGUGGCGACAGGGCAGUGGUGGUGGCUGUGGUAACAGGCCACUCCAUCUCAGAUACGUUCGGUUCAGUCAAGUCCGGCUUAGAUAGAGGAGACAAGAUGACAGCUAAAGACUGAAGAGGUGGUUUGCGAUAUCUUUGAGCGAUUAGUGGGGCGGUGAUGGGUAAGGGUGCAAACGAAUCGAGCGAACAUGAACGAGUUUUUGUUCAUAUUCGUUUGUUAAGGAAAUAAUUUGUUCGUGAACGGUUUAUGAACGUUUUUUUUCCGACAUUGUGUCUUGUGUUAUAUUGUCCGUCAUUGUUAUAUUUUGCGAUUUUAACGCUUGAUAAUACUAGAAUUGUGUAGGAUAACUCACGCUAGGUAAUAUAAAGAUCUUCUUUGCGUAACACUAAAGAACCUUGAACGGCGAUUGUGACGACGGUGGAGAAUCUGGUCUGGAUUUUGCCAGGUUCUUUCAGUAACCUUUCUAUAAAAAUUUAAUACUUUUGACUUUUCACUUUUGAUUUACCUUACUGUAAAUUGAUGCGAGUAGUUUCAUGCUUUUUAUGCUAUCUAAUCGAUUGAUUCUUGGUUGUCGUUUCUGUUCACCAACAACACGAAUCAACGCCGAUGUUUGAACGCCAAAUCGCGAAACAGGAAAGGAAACGUAGUUGUCAAAUUCAGGUCACCAUGUGAAAUAGUUGCCAGGCAGAUUAAAUUUCAAGUCCUUGCUAUCAUGUUGUGCCAUUUAGCCUUGGUUAACAAUCAGCGAUGUGGCUUAGAAUAGAAGUUAAAGAGAAUGGAUAAGUUGUAAAUGCUUACUUGAUGAGCAAGGCAUGAAUGAGUUGUGCAGGUUCGUGUGUGAACUGUGAAGACCAGAAUCAAGUCGCGUGCCUCAAAGAGGUCGCGUGAAAAAUGAUGACACAAGGAAUUGCUAUUUGGAUGGCUACAACCUAGGAACAUUAUGCAGCCGAAAGCCUGACAUAAGCCGUAACGCCUAUGCCAGAAAUCUACUAACAGCGAAAUAUCUUUUUAUGGUCGUAACUUGCAGCUGGUGUAAGUAAGAUAAGUUGCUUAUGGAUUGAUACAACGAUAUUUUGUAUACACCAGGUAGAUAGGGUAGACGAUGAGAAUGAAAUACACAAACUUAAUGUAAGAAGCAUCGGAUUUUUAUCCACUGUGAUAUAUAUAUAACCAAUCCCCCGCCGCAUCGCGGCGGGUCAUAAAUCUAGUUUA